rnacentral:rRNA from 1 species
GAUGAACGCUGGCGGCGUGCCUAACACAUGCAAGUCGAACGAAGCACAUACGACAGAACUCUUCGGAGGGAAGAUGUAUGUGACUGAGUGGCGGACGGGUGAGUAACGCGUGGGUAACCUGCCCUAUACAGGGGGACAACAGUUGGAAACGACUGCUAAUACCGCAUAAGCGCACAGUACCGCAUGGUACAGAGCGAAAAAACUCCGGUGGUAUAGGAUGGGCCCGCGUCUGAUUAGUUAGUUGGCGGUGUAACGGACCACCAAGACGACGAUCAGUAGCCGGCUUGAGAGAGUGAACGGCCACAUUGGGACUGAGACACGGCCCAAACUCCUACGGGAGGCAGCAGUGGGGAAUAUUGCACAAUGGGGGAAACCCUGAUGCAGCAACGCCGCGUGAGUGAAGAAGUAUUUCGGUAUGUAAAGCUCUAUCAGCAGGGAAGAAAAUGACGGUACCUGACUAAGAAGCCCCGGCUAACUACGUG